rnacentral:rRNA from 1 species
UACGUAGGGGGCAAGCGUUGUCCGGAAUCAUUGGGCGUAAAGAGCGCGUAGGCGGCCCUGUAAGUCCGCUGUGAAAGUCAAGGGCUCAACCCUUGGAAGCCGGUGGAUACUGCAGGGCUAGAGUCCGGAAGAGGCGAGUGGAAUUCCUGGUGUAGCGGUGAAAUGCGCAGAUAUCAGGGGGAACACCGAUGGCGAAGGCAGCUCGCUGGGACGGUACUGACGCUGAGGCGCGAAAGCGUGGGGAGCAAACAGG